rnacentral:tRNA from 1 species
GGGCCUAUAAGCUAAUGGUAAACUGUCGCUCUCCAAAAGCGAUUUUCCAGGUUCGAGUCCUGGUGGGCCCG